CCAGGCGGAGCGGCGAGAAACAACGCACGGUGAGUUCCACUGCUAACUUUCUCUCUUCAUCAGUCUUGCUCGUAUGUACGAGUCUGUCCCGAGACAGCGCUAUACGCUCGAACAACGACAACACUAUAAGGGGUUCGAGUGAACAGGAAUAGUCUCAAAACUCAGGAGAAUACGGUGUUAUUGGGGCGCGCGGUUGGCGCAAAGCUAGUGAGCUAAGGUAGCUAGCAGGCGCCGCUAGUCCCGUAUAAACACACCAGUGUUUGGUUAGCAAGCUAGCGCUAGUCGGGGUUAGCAAGCUAAAACUGAGACUGGCGCUUGUUCAAAUAUGGCGGUGGAGGAUGAGAUGCCGCUACACAUUUAGCUCCAACUUUCUGUGUCGUCUUCAGUGACAUAUCUUGUGUACUUGUGUAUUGUGGUCUAAAGCGUUACCGCGAGUUCACCACUGAAGGGAACUCAAACUCGCGGUAGCUACUCUGUGUCUGAGAGAGAGAGAGAGAGAGAGAGAGAUAUCGAGCCAAGUCAGCUAGCUAGUCUGCAGUCCAUAUUGAGUUCAGCGUUAGCCUGCCAGCUAACCUAGCAAAAACUUCUUUAAGCAUUUUUGUCUACAGCUAAUCAGGUUGUAAUGUUUAAAACUUGCUUUUUUUUUUAUUAUAUAUUAAUCCUUAGAUCACUUCUCAGAGACGGCCUUGCUAGUUAUCUAUUUAGCUUAGUUUUCGGUUAUAUAGACUGAGCGUGCUCGGGUUUUAGCACAGUUACAACAGGCGGUUAAUCUUAUGCCAGUUAUUUACAUAUGGCUGUAUCAUCUUGUACUGAACCAUCCAUGAGUGAUGUGCACACACAACUCUGGCUCAUAUGCACUGAAGUUUUGUAAUGAGAGCUCAACCCAAAUCAUGGACUAAAUUGCCAAGCCAUUGAAGAUUCACCAGACAAACUCCUUAUUGGUAUUUAUUUUGGGUUUAAUCCAGUGUGUAAAUACCAGGAAGGCUCUCAAGCUCUUAGCAACCUCUCACAGUGGCAUUUCAUAAUGUUUACUGGUUACAAAGGCAGCCGAACAGAUGAUCCUGACAGCGGCCUCUCUGAUUCACUACCACCCCUUCAACUGUUCAUUACAG
ensembl:lncRNA